rnacentral:rRNA from 1 species
CAUGCAAGUCGUACGAGAAAGUAGCUUCGGCUAUUAGUAUAGUGGCGCACGGGUGAGUAAUAGUUGGGUAACGUACCUUUUCGCUGGGGAUAACUAGACGAAAGUUUAGCUAAUACCGAAUAGUCCCAUUUUUUCUCCGGAUUAAAUGGGUAAAGCCGUAAGGCGCGGAAUGACCGGCCCAACUCCCAUUAGCUAGUUGGUAGGGUAAAGGCCUACCAAGGCUUCGAUGGGUAGCUGGUUUGAGAGAAUGAUCAGCCACACUGGUACUGGAACACGGACCAGACUCCUACGGGAGGCAGCAGUUAGGAAUUUUGCGCAAUGGGGGAAACCCUGACGCAGCAACGCCGCGUGAGUGAAGAAGGCCUUCGGGUCGUAAAGCUCUUUUAGUGGGGAAUAAAAAAAUGAAGGUACCCACAGAAAAAGCACCGGCUAACUCCGUGCCAGCAGCCGCGGUAAUACGGAGGGUGCAAGCGUUAUUCGGAAUUACUGGGCGUAAAGCGUGCGUAGGCGGUUUGCUAAGUCUGGUGUGAAAUCCCUGAACCCAAUUCAGGACGUGCAUUGGAUACUGGCAGACUAGAGUAUGGGAGAGGAAAGCGGAAUUCCAGGUGUAGAGGUGAAAUUCGUAGAUAUCUGGAGGAACAACAGAGGCGAAGGCGGCUUUCUGGACCAUUACUGACGCUGAGGCACGAAAGCGUGGGGAGCAAACAGGAUUAGAUACCCUGGUAGUCCACGCCGCAAACGAUGGAUAUUAGAUGUCGGAAGUUCUUACCCUUUCGGUGUCGUAGCUAACGCGUUAAAUAUCCCGCCUGGGGACUACGGUCGCAAGAUUAAAACUCAAAGAAAUUGACGGGGGCCCGCACAAGCGGUGGAGUAUGUGGUUUAAUUCGAUGCAACGCGAAAAACCUUACCUGGGCUUGACAUCCCGCGCAAUCCGGUGAAAGUCGGAGUUCCUUCGGGACGCGGUGACAGGUGCUGCAUGGCUGUC